GUGGGGAAUUUUGCGCAAUGGGCGAAAGCCUGACGCAGCAACGCCGCGUGGAGGAUGAAGGAUCUCUGAUUCGUAAACUCCUGUCGGCCGGGACGAAACGGCGGGGUGUGAAACCGCCCCGCCUUGACUGUACCGGCAAAGGAAGCCCCGGCUAACUCCGUGCCAGCAGCCGCGGUAAUACGGAGGGGGCAAGCGUUACUCGGAAUUAUUGGGCGUAAAGGGCGCGUAGGCGGUCGCGUGCGUCGGAGGUGAAAUCCCCGGGCUUAACCCGGGACGUGCCUCCGAUACGGCGUGGCUUGAGUCCGGGAGAGGAGAGCGGAAUUCCCAGUGUAGCGGUGAAAUGCGUAGAUAUUGGGAGGAACACCAGUGGCGAAGGCGGCUCUCUGGACCGGUACUGACGCUGAGGCGCGAAAGCGUGGGGAGCAAACAGGAUUAGAUACCCGGGUAGUCC
rnacentral:rRNA from 1 species